ACAUAGCCCUGAGGGAAAGUUGACACUGCUCUCUGGGAAUCAAUCUAGAUUCAUCCAAAGGAGUCAUGAUAAGCAUAAGAAUUCAGUCUCAAGCCGAGCAGUGCACAGGACUACCGGGAGACAGUUACUGGUCAGGGAUUCAAAUGUUUCUUAAGAAGAAGUCACAGACAUGUUGCCAUGAAGCUCAACCGCUUAUGUUGUGUUCUCAGGGGUUUUAUACACAACCCAGCCUCUGCCAUCCACAGCCCAGCAGCCCCACCAGAGCCUCCCCGUGCUCUGACCUCACAUCUGAAAUAACAGCUGGGUACUCAGGGAGUCUCAUGGGCCAUCCUGGAAGAUGAAUAAAGCUUGGUUUCUGUGUUUGGCCUUGGCGCUGCCAUAUGGGAUCUGAUGAUACAGUUAUUUAGCAAGAAACCACAGGAAUAAAAACAACGUGAUAAAACCCAGAGAAAGUGAGUCCUUCUUCUGUGGAUGGCAACUGAAUGCCACAGGCUGUGCAAUGCCCACCCCGAGCAAACCCGGAGGCCCUGGGUUUUGACUGAGCCCCGACAUCGAGGGCUGCAUGCUUCAGAUUCCUGCUCUGUAAACAGGGACUGUGGUUCCUGUGCCCACGGAAACAGAGCUUGUCAAAAAUAUUAAAGUGUGGAAAAUGUG